UUGAAUAUACUUAAGCAUGCAGGGCGCUUCCGGAAAAACUUAAAGAACAUUCACAACGUAUAGACGCGGGUGUUUCUGGGCGUUGAAACAUAUUUGAACAAGAUACAUUUCUUGGAAUUGUACAGACACGAUAGAAUCUACAUUCUGUACACCAUGGUAUGACUUUUGAUAAAAGCCAGCAUCUAUGUAGUGCGCAAAAUCAGGGCUUCCCUUAAAGAGGGAGAUCAGUCAGAACAACCUGUGCUGACACCAUGUGAUCUGGCUAAAAGUAAAAAGCAAGAGCGUUAUGCAUCAGAUGCAGCAUUAAUGUCAUCUCCAGAGGCUGAGGGUGCUUCUGCGUCACCAGUAUAUGCAGAGACAGCAGUAGAGAAAUGUGGUUCCUGAGGUUAAAGGUCACUCAGAAGCAGAACUGGGCACAAUGGGGGCCAUUUUACUGGCUCAGAAGGCAGACUGUGACAUAAAGAUCUGACAUCAACCCAGUUUUGCUCUGCGUGAUUCUUUUUCUUGCUCUACCUCUCUCUCUUUUUUUCCUCUCUUUUUGUGUUCCAUCAGCUGUAGAAUGUGAAGGUCUAUUCAUUAACUUCUGCUUCAGGAGCGGUUUAGAGCUGAUGUUUACCUGCAGCUUUUACUGUAUUUUAACAGUGACUAACUCUUUUUCUAUCUGACUGUACACUGACUGGACACAUAUCACUAAAAAUAACAGAGGACUUUAUUUAUUACCUCAUGUAAUGUUUGCCAUGACAAAACCACCAAUAAAGUUUUGAAA